GGUUGCUACUUAGAAGGCGUUUCAUCAUUUAGUUCAAAUGCUAGAAUCAUGCCCAUUCAUUCAAAGCAUGUUAUUGAUUUGCAUAACACAUAUUCAAGAUGAAGUUGGUAGUGACCACCCCUUAGCCAAAAAGCCGUGUGCCCUAUGUCAUUGUGAUUUGUAGUUUUAACCCCAUUAGCCUUGUUAGCCUUCGUUAUUUGUUAACCAUGUUUCCUCACCUAGCCUAGUUUAGGACCAUCCAACCCUUGUUCUUAAAGCAUAUAAGGCAUGAUUCAAUUGAAUCCUUUUGAUUUAUGUUCAGGAAAACUAGUGUGGGUAUUUUUUGUGAUUUUGGUGCCAUAGCACGUGUGGAAGAAAGAAAAAAAAAGAGAAAAGAAACAAAAAAUUUUGGAAAAAGAAAAAUGAAGAAAAAAAAAUAUGAAAAGUGAGAAAAAGAGUUCCAAAGUAUUGUUUGUUGAAGUAAGGGCCAAAACAAUGAAUUCGGCUAAGGAAGUUGUUUAAAUCUUCCCCUUGUGUUUAAAAGUUAAUUUCACUCUAAGGAAUUCUAAGUCUCAAUUUCAUUGCUUUGUUACUAUUGCUUGAAGAACGUUUGUUUUCCUUAUCCUUUCCUUGUUAACCAACACCCCAAGCCCCAUUACCCUUAACUUCUAUCUUGAAUGUUUAUGUGUUUCAAUUUGUGGAGUUGAAUUUGGUAUGAGAUAUGGUGUCACUGGUUUCGCAUCUAAGUAGUAAGCAUUCCAUUCAUGAGAUCAUAUCUAACAUGCUUCUUAACUCUAGAAUUGCGUCUUUGUGAUACAUAUAUGUGAGCAUUCGUUUCAUUUCUACAUCAUCUUUCACAUAUGACUAGUUAGGGUGUGGAGUUAGAAAACUGAAGUGAAAAUAGAGUGUAUAUCUUUAAGGAAUUGAGGAAUUCUCUAAGGCAUGUUACUACAUUCAAAGAUUGUUUUGAUAUUACUUGUGAAUUAGUAAGUGGUGGCUUUAAUUAAGUAUGUGCUUGUGUAAAGAUGACUCAAAUGUGGGGAUAACAAUCUUUAACAUGUCAGUGCAUUGGAAAUCCCUGAGGCAAACGUUGGAAGGUUUAGGUUUUGUUUUGGUAGUUUUCGUUUUGUUUUCUUUCUUUGUUUGUUUUGCUCGGAGGACUAGCAAAGUAAGUGUGGGGGAAUUGAUAGGAGCAUAUUUAUGCGCGUUAGUUAGCUAGUUCUAUGCACUUUGUAUGUUUUCUUUGUUAAAAUAGUCUUUUAAGUACUUCUGUGUUUUCAGGUUUAGCGACGUAUUACAUAAAUGAUGCAAUUGGGAGUUUGGAGAAAAGUAGCUUGAAUUGAAAAGGACAUGCUUGGAACGCAGUUGGGAUGGAAUUGAAGAGUUUGAAGAUUUGAGGUUUCCUACUUGAAGUAGGAAAGCUAUGCCUAAAGUUUCCAUUUUGGGUCGUCUUUCCUAAAUCGGAAUUGCAACCAAAGUCUAAAAUUGGAAGUUUCUAUUUUUGGAGGUUUCCAUUUUCGAGAGUUUCUAUUCUUGGCGUUGCUUUUAGAUGACCUAACCCAAAAUUUCCUUGUGGACCUUCAACCCAUGCCAACCCUAGGGCCGAAUCAUCUAAAUCUGCCAUGUUUAAACCCUAGCCAUUCCUCCUAAACCCAAAGCCGCACCUUUCCACUAGAGCCCUAUUUUACAAACCCUAAACCAGUCACUUAAGUAGCCGCACCUAACCUAGCCCAAUCUGAUUUAUUUAGGGUUUUAGGUCUAUAUAUAUGUAUUUUUACACCUAGCCGCAACAUCUUCUCUCCCUCUCCAUAUUCAGAAAUUCUCAAAACCCUAUUCCCACUUUGCCGCAGCCUUCAUCCAUUCCAGCCACCAUUCUCACCUCUAUACACCAUCCUACACCUCCAUACACCACCACACACCUUGCCGCACCCCCAUACCAUCCUAAUUCCCUCCUACAUCAAAAAUCACAUCCAAAAAACCCCAAAACCAUCUCUGCCGCAGCAAGGAGAAGAAGAAAGAGGAGCUUUCUGUGCAGAUUUCAAAGUGGACUUCCUUGGCAUUUUAGGUGUAAUCUUUCUUAUGUCUUCGAUGUUUCAAUUCAAUAAACUUUGUGUUGUGAGUAUGAGGAACUAAAACCCCUUAGUUGGGGGGUGAUUCGAAACCAUGUACAUGCUUGCAAUUGAUUCGAUUACAUUCAGUUGUUAUUUCAUAAGUUGUGGAUUCAAUUCGUUCAUCUAUUUGAUUGAUACUUAUUUAUGUAUGUUGAUUGAGAGUGCACGCUUAGUUUUUCAUGCAUGAAUAUGAUGCUAGAUUAUGAGGGAGUUUCACCUAAUAGUUAUAAUCUUAUAAUCACCAAGUAGUGAAGAUCGCUUGAAAACGAUCGCGUUGAAUGAAUUCUUAGCAUAAGUUUCAUGCAAUUCAUAGUAACAAAUGCUUCGUCAAUGCUUAUGUUUUUCAUAAAACGUAAUGAUUCUUGCUUGUAUCUCUAUUAUGCAAUUCAUGUAGGGAACUUGUAGGGAAUGUUUUGAGUUGUCGUAUGCAAUCAUCCAACUUGAUAAAAUUCUGGAAAAACUGAGGUUAAUUAGUGCAAUUCACGGUUAACUUGGGGCGUUGAGUAUUCAUAGUUUAUCGGAAGAACAACUGAAAAUCGUUUUGUUUGCAAGUGUGACAUGUGUGGAGAAGAACCUCCUAACUAGCCUUUUAUCCAUCCUUUUCACCAAAAUCGUUUUUACAAUCUGUGUUAAUUAAAGUUUCUGUUUUGUUUUCAAUUUCUGUCCAAAACUAUUCCCCCUUUAUUUUGAAGUCUUAGAUUAGUUAGAAAGUGUUUUGAUUUGUGUUUCUAGGUGUUUUGAUUCAAGUUUUCAACCAAUUUCGUCCAGAUUAGUGUAAGUGCUCAAAACUGCCCAGAAAGUGGUUUUUAGGCAGUUUUGAGCCUUCUAGUUGCUGUUUUAAGUUUUAGGUUUGUUUAAGUGUUUUAACUUUUAGUUUUGCAUUCUUUGAGUCUAGUUUAGUGUUUUUAACUUUGUUUUUGAGUGUUUAAGUCAGUUUCCAAGCGUUUAGCAAUCCCUCCUAAUCCCCGGUCUAGAACGAUCCCUACUUACAUCUUUACUACAAUUUGACAAAAAGAGGGUUUAAUUUGUGUGCUUAAUAUAUUUCGCAUCAAGCUAGAGCUCUGUAAAUGAAGUCUUUGAAAGCUAGAGCUUUUGUAAAUGAAGCUUUUGAAGCUAGAGCUCUGUAAAUGAAGCUUUUGAAGCUGAUUGACAUGAGUGAUGCUCAUGAAUGUUUAUGUUGAUUGACAUGAGUGAUGCUCAUGGAUGUUGUCAUGAGUGAUGUUUAUGAAUGUUAACAUGAGUGAUGCUCAUGAAUGUUGACAUGAAUGAUGAUCAUGAAUGUUUAUGUAUGAUUAUCAUGAGUGAUGCUCAUGAAUGUCUAUGUAUGAAUGACAUGAGUAAUGCUCAUGUAUAAUUUGGAGUACUUGGCGUACUUUUGAUCGCCUGGUUGGAGCUAUUUUGGGCUUAUGGGCCUUUGCUCUCCACACAGCAUGUCAGCCCAUUUCUUUUGGGCUUUGCCGUCUUUUUUUUUUUUUUUUUUUUUUUUUUUUUUUUUUUUUUUUUAGUUACCCUCUGAUGGGGUUUAUACAUAUUACCCUCUUAUAGGUGAUAGGAGCAUAUUUAUGCGCCUUAGUUAGCUAGUUCUUAUGCAUUUAUGUUGUGUUUUCUUAGUUAAAGUAGUCUUUUAAGCUAUUUUCAUGUGUUUUCAGGUUUUAGAGACAAAGUGAGCAAAAGGAUGCAAUUUGGAGCAUUUUGGAGCAAAAUUGGGCUAGAAUGGAGUUCAUGCACAUGAAGCACAAGGGAUGGACGAAUUUGAAGGAUUGAUGAAGCUAGGAAUGUGUUUUGAAGUUGAAGAAUUGAAGAUACAAAGAUUC
rnacentral:lncRNA from 1 species